rnacentral:rRNA from 1 species
CUACGUGCCAGCAGCCGCGGUAAUACGUAGGGUGCGAGCGUUAAUCGGAAUUACUGGGCGUAAAGCGAGCGCAGACGGUUACUUAAGCAGGAUGUGAAAUCCCCGGGCUCAACCUGGGAACUGCGUUCUGAACUGGGUGACUAGAGUGUGUCAGAGGGAGGUAGAAUUCCACGUGUAGCGGUGAAAUGCGUAGAGAUGUGGAGGAAUACCGAAGGCGAAGGCAGCCCCUUGGGAAUGUACUGACGCUCAUGUGCGAAAGCGUGGGGAGCAAACAGGAUUAGAUACCCUGGUAGUCCACGCUGUAAACGAUGUCGAUUUGGGGGUUGAGCUUUAAGUUUGGCGCCCGUAGCUAACGUGAUAAAUCGACCGCCUGGGGAGUACGGCCGCAAGGUUAAAACUCAAAUGAAUUGACGGGGGCCCGCACAAGCGGUGGAGCAUGUGGUUUAAUUCGAUGCAACGCGAAGAACCUUACCUACUCUUGACAUCCAGAGAACAUUC